rnacentral:rRNA from 1 species
AACGAACGCUGGCGGCAUGCCUAACACAUGCAAGUCGAACGAGACCUUCGGGUCUAGUGGCGCACGGGUGCGUAACGCGUGGGAACCUGCCUUUAGGUUCGGAAUAACUCAGAGAAAUUUGAGCUAAUACCGGAUAAUGUCUUCGGACCAAAGAUUUAUCGCCUUUAGAUGGGCCCGCGUAAGAUUAGCUAGUUGGUGGGUAAAGGCCUACCAAGGCGACGAUCUUUAGCUGGUCUGAGAGGAUGAUCAGCCACACUGGGACUGAGACACGGCCCAGACUCCUACGGGAGGCAGCAGUGGGGAAUAUUGGACAAUGGGCGAAAGCCUGAUCCAGCAAUACCGCGUGAGUGAUGAAGGCCUUAGGGUUGUAAAGCUCUUUUACCCGAGACGAUAAUGACAGUAUCGGGAGAAUAAGCUCCGGCUAACUCCGUGCCAGCAGCCGCGGUAAU